UUAAUUUUGGAGCUGCUAUGGAUCUUUUUUUUUCUCAGAUGCCAUCUUUCAGGAGAAAUUCAGCACAUCAAAUCUCAAAGAUUUUUCUCCUCAAGACCUUUCCAAAUGUAAUUUAGUUUUGUCUUUUGACAUUUGUUCUUUUGUUGUUAUCUUAGGCAUUAUCGUGAGGGGGGAAGCGGCCGCAGAUUAAGGACAGCGCGGGUUAAGAGCAUGGUCAUAGUCUAGGAGCACGCCCGGUGGUCGGUGCGUAUGUUGUCUCCAUGCCAAAAAUAGCCACUUGAUUAUUUUAACAAAUCCCUCUUCUGCCUCUUAGUCAUGCUCAAAUCUGAGCUACCAUGUGUCUACUGAGCUUAAAAUUACCCACAACCCACAAUAGAAGGCAAGUAGGAUUUGACAGUGUAUGACAUGGUAAUCUAGCUUUAUAAAAUCCAAAUUGAUCAGGAUAUGCACAUAGAUGUUUACAUAUUUGCAUCCGUAGUGUCACUUAUAGGAUUGUAAUUAAUAGCAACCAUGGAGAGAGUCGGUUCAUUUUAUUAUGAGCACGUCUCUUCUUCUGCAUCCUGAAGAUCUGCUAAAAUAUGAAGUGAAUUUCCUGUUUUAUCUCACAUUUACCAAUUACACAUUGAAAUAUUUUGUUUUUCAAGAGAGUUUGAUUUGUACUUUGAAAGUUUUGGAAUUGGAGACAUCACCCUUCUUGUCCGCUGCCCAACUCCGUCGCGGCCCAGGCCUAGCAGGAGAUAGAGGCACCGCGAGGACUCACUGCAAAGAAGCCAUGGGAGGAGGACCCCGACUCGGAUGACGGCUGCUGAAAGAUCAUGCACUUCUUCGGCCCACACACCAGCUCCGCUUACGGCUUAUCCAAGGUAUCUCCUUGUGCAGCUUCACUCUCGCCCGUGUGCCUCGUGCAAAUAAAUAAAGCUACCUAGCACCGGCUCUUAUUUCUCUAUGCGUACAUAGUGUUUGUGCCGAUUCUUAUUUAUAUGUGCCUACAUGGAAUACAAUUCUUAUUUGUCUGAACCAGUGAGAAUUUCAUUCAGUUUGUUUAUGUCCAUGAGUAACAAUUUUUUGGAAGCAUAUGUACAUAUUUAGGAAUCCAACUAUGCUUUGUGCACUUUCUGCUGAGCUAGGGAAUGUUCACUUCAGCUAGCAAGAACCUGUUAGCGGCUGUGAUAGAUCAAAAGUGAAAGGAGUGGUUGAACGCUUAUUAUUAAGAUAAAGGACAACUCCACAACAAUGGUGAUGGAGAUCUAUUUAGCAACCUCCUCAUUUGGUUCUAAAGUUAUUUACCCUUUUCAGUGAAGGAACUGGUUUUGCGGCAUCAGUUGAACUUAGUCAAAUUAUAUGUGUUGUGUAUGUAGGUUGGAGCUUCACCAGCGCCAUGGUUGUGCUCGGAGGAGGACCGCCGAUGCCCGCCGCCGCUGUCGUCCACAUGCUCCUCCUCACGACCACGGGUGGACAUUGGCUGAGGUCUAGCCUCCCAUCCACACGCAGGUACUCCCCACUCCCCUCUGUGCCCUCUCUCUGUUAAACUAAGGAAGGGAGCCUAUAUGUUUCAUCUUGUCAAUCUAAUUUGCCGGUGCAUAUUAGUAUAUAGUCACAUUCAGAAAAGCUUGACUGCACAGUAAGAGAGUUUGUAUCUUUUUUCAGAUUAUGCAAGUAUCUGCUUGGUCUGCAUAUUAGUACCGACUAGCGAGCACAGGAACGACGACUUGGAUCUGAUGACUUGGAAUUCCAAUUGACCGAGACAUCAAUUAAUUGACUCAAAAUGACGGGUAAUGUGUCACCAAAAGUGUUUUGCCAGAUGCGUCGCUUUCGUCCCUUUAUAUCCUUCCCAUGCACCACACCGUACCAACAAAGGCAAAAUUUGUUUGUGUGAAAGCAUCUGAACCAUUGGCAUUGUUUGUUUCUCUGGUGAAUAAAUUGUGUUUGCACGCAGCAUGUCUGAACCCUGAGCAUUAUUUGUUUCUCCACUAAGCGAAUUGUGUCUGCACGCAGGAAGUGAAAGCAUCAGAUUGAGUGAUUCAGAUCAGUUCUUGCGUUGUACGCCUAUAAAUUCGGCGGUAAUUCCUAACUAUGAUGUUGAUAUGAUCUCCCAUAUGCAUAUUUGACCAGUACUGCGCGCGCCCCGCGAGCAAAGGUCGCCCGGCAAAUUCUGACCCAGCCAAAUGGGAAGGUCGCGAGCCCACCAGUCAUGGAUUCUUAUACCAGCCCAAUAGGGUUGUUCUCCAUCGUCCUCGUGCCCUCCUGUAUGUACUCUCGCUUAUGUGUUCUUGGAUUCUUAUUUUCUUUCUUUUGCAGGAUCCAUAGGAUUAUUGUUUUCUCUGAAUUUGUCCUUUGGUGCAUUGUAUUUGCUUAUUCAGGUCGAUGGGGAGGAGAGGAGCAGAGAGGCUGGAGCUCCAGACGGCACACGCGCUGCUGGGUGGAGGAGAGGCCAGCUACGGGACAAGGAGCAGUGGGCUUAGAGCUCCAGGCGGCGCUCCUGUCACGAUGUGGUGAGAUGCAAGGGAGGGGUAGGAUGCCGGUGACAGCAGAAGGAGCGGGCCGGUGUAGAGGGCAAGCAGCACAUGAAGGUAUGUAUUUCUUCACACUAUAUUCAUUAUUUUGCAACUUGUAUUCAUUGUCGCUGAUAAUCCUUUUGCACUUUUGUUUUAUCUAAUCCAUUCCAAGUUUAUAACUGGUGAUGUUUGGUCUUUUACUAUUUUGGCUGGUGAUAGAUUAAGAAGGAUAUGACGCUUUGUAUAGUUUCAUGGAUGGGGUUUGGGUGUCCUGAUGAGAGCAGUUCAGUGGCUGCACCUCUGCAACCUCGCCAACGUGGACAAUCACUGGUAACAUCUUUUUACCCUAUCCAGUUAUUACCUCCAUUUUAUGCAGUUUCUUUUCAAACUGAAUGAAGUCUCGAGGUGGACGCGCGAGCUCUUAUUUUGUUGUUCUUGCUGUUGUGUAUACUAGAUCAUUGAUGGCGCGCGUUGCCGCACCCGUCCAUUUUUAUAAUGAAAAGGUAGGUAUUGCCCACAAGGUUUAAAGUAAGAGUACUACUAUAGUCGUGCUUAACAUAGAUUGUUUCCAUACCCAGUCCAAAAAACUAACUUUUAGCUCUUAACUAAGCAACAAAAAAUAUAUAGCCCUGUUAAUUGUGAACUUCUAUGUUUUGUUCAUACAAAUUACAAGAUCAUUGUCAAACACAUAACUAUAGCAAAGUCAGCACGAAAUAAUAAAUACACAAUAUGAUGGAAAUAAUAGGUGGCAUGACUUGUAGAAUCUUAUUACUUGUUAGGCAUAAAUCGUGAAAGCCGUAAAUUGUAAAUUUGUAACACAAGAAUUCUCCUAAGCUUCUUAUUUAGGGCAAACAUUCAACUUAAGAACAUGUUUGUGGGGAUAUAUAUGAACACAGUCUGACCUGCGACAUACAUAUAUAGCAUGCAUGAUUGACUUGAGAAUUUGUAAGAAUUUUGUUGAGCUUCUUGCCACAAGAAUGUUUCUUGAUAAUAUUGUAUGUUGUAGAACUGCUCAACUUGGGAUGGCUAUGAGAAAAAUCCUUGAUACAGAAGCAUACAUGAUCCAGGUCUUCUCACCAACAGCUUUGUCUCCAUUGCCCAACUUUCUAACAAGAACAUCAAAAAGAACAAAAAAACUAUUAAAAUAAUAACACAACUCAGGAGCUCAACCCUCACAUAUUUCAUUCAUUCUAGUUAUAUUAUUUUUUGAAAAAAACUACAAAGCACUCACUUCUUGUUUCCGAACAGGCACAGUAUGACAAAAAAAAGACUGUCGUCUUUUCUGUUCUAGAAAGCCAAGCCAUUCUGAUGCUAAUUAAGUUCCACCAAACAACUUCGGGAUUUAGCCUUACCUAAACUUUGGCCUGCUAAGGAGAGAUUUAACGCAACAAAUAUCACUAACUGGAAUUAGAUGGUACAAAGUUAUAAGAAAAGAAAAAAGAAGUCGCUUGGAAGAAAAUGUAAAGAUAAAACUAUUAUUUAUUGAAGAAUAGUGUAGCAAAAACAUAAGUCCAUUGAGCACACCUCCAUAGAACAAACAGAUUGUCUCUCGAACUGCAGUUUGAAAGCCCCUCAAGUUGUCCCUGUGCUAUGAUGUAAUCAGUACAAUUAUUGUCACACAAGGAUUAUUGCUAGUAUAGUUUAGCAAAACUACCAACAUAGAAGCACAACAAAGUGGGUAAUGGAAUCAGAGUUAAAUAUGUAUACUUACUCUGUAGCGCAAAAUAACAAAUGCCUAUAUAGGGCAUGUAGAGUUAGCAAAAAACCAUUCUAGUUGAACGGAAUGGGGGAUCAAACAAUAAGAAACUUCAAAGCGUAUUAGCUCUCUCUCUCUCUCUCUCUCUCUCUCUCUAUAUAUAUAUAUAUAUAUAUAUAUAUAUAUAUAUAUAUAUAUAUAUAUAUAUAUAUAUAUAUAUAUUGCUCAAAUCAAAACUAAGAAUGAACAAAGGAAAUAUCCAUUGGCUAGCUCCCAGAUUGAGUUAAUUUAAAACUGCACACAAAUUCUCUUACCAAAUUAACAUGUAUGACAAAAAACCGAAGCAUACCAUAAAUUAAACUGUCUAUUUUAUGAUGCAAGCAAGUGGCGGCUACUCAGUUCUUGUAAAUUUUAAGCAAAUUGACCAACAACAUUUUUCCCAAAUUAGAAGGAAUACAAUUGUUAGUUCUCACCAUGGCGACUACAUAAUUUGGAUUGGAGCUUGUGAACUUACAUUAUUUGCAUACAUAUAGUAGUGUUAGUCACGGAUGGAGAAGGCCAGAAGUGGAGGAACAUGAAAUGGCAUAAGUAGGAUCCGUAGAUUUAAAAAAUUCAAACUAUGGAGUUUAAUGCAAUGAGGUGAAAUAAGCAAAACUAACCGCUAAUAGAAUUGUUGAAUUAAACAAUAAAAUUAGAACCGUGAUUGUCAUAAGUUAUGAUCAGAAAAUAUGACCUUACAAAAAUGGACCAUGCAACCUUACUUUUAGAAAUGUGCACACAAAUCCAAUGUAAAUUGGGGUAGUGGUAAUAGAUAAACCACUUUGUCGUGCCUGGAGAUUCCCCGUACCAGGAAAAUAAAGGGUAUGUGCAAUUGUUGUUCCGUUCGCCUUUGGUAGUUCAAUCAACCCAGAAACUUGCUCCAGCGGAAGGUUCACUACCUUGAGGUGGCCUCUAAUUGCCGCAGUUAUCAGAGGAGUCACAUUUUGAUUGGCCAAACAUUUUCGCAAGGGAUGGGUCAUGGUCCAGGAGUACUUCACUAUAUCUACAAGCAGUGUCAGAUGUCCAACUUUCUGUAUUACCACGGUAAAGAUGAAACAACAUGAAUGAGAGACUAACUCUUGCCCAUUAGCUUGUUAAGGCAACGACACAGUUGAGUUAUUACACAGAGCAGGUAAAUUUCAACACUGGAAAACAAAUAACAAUAGGAUCCAUGGAGAUUAAUCGAAGAGUAGAUUAAGAACACAUAAAACCUUGGCUGCCCAUAAAACCAUGGCUAUCAAUUAAUUUAGGAAUUCAUAUCAGUCUUAUAUAUAUGCAUGAUCCCCGAGAAACAGUGAUCCAUGAGGCCAUGACUAAGCAUCCCUCCCCAUCUUUUGUGGAGCAAACAGAUAACUUUAGCAUCUACACACUUUUGAUUUUGCUGAACUAUUUGUGCACAAAAUUGGAAACUACAGACAAAGGGGUCAACAAUCGUGGCAUACACCAUACAGUAGCAAUCGUUGUUUGCUACACACCUUUGAUUCAGCGAUUUAGUGCUAGUCACGUGGUUCAGCAAGAUGGCAUCCACAAGAAACAUAAAGCAUCUAAAAACAAUGCAAAUCCAAGAAGGUACAUGGAAGGAGAUAGCUUACGUGUUACGCGGAUGAAGCUGCUGCCUAUUGAUGGUUAGAUUGUAGUCUAGACACAAGGUCCAAAGCUCCCAUGUUACCAUGUAAAAAUAUGAGAAAAAACAGAAGUCGUGAUGAUGCGCCGGCCACUAUCGUCCGCGUCCCACCCUUUCCACGCAGGUGGUUCGACCGCGUCGGGUGGAUCGAUUGGCCGUUGAUUCAUCUGCAUCCCGCGCGGUCGAUGGAUCCCAUCUCGAAUGCACGGAUACUUAAGCCGACCAGCGAAUCCGUAUGGAUACCGUAUCCGAUACCGAUACUCCUCCGAUACGCCCCCGAUACGUAUCCCUGGAGUAUCCAAGAAUAAAUGAUUUAAAACAAUUGCGAUAGUCGAAGGAUACUUUGCCAGUACGUUUUGGAUACUUCUCCAGCCCAUGUAAGAGCCCACUCAGCCCAGUUAAGAAGCAGCCAACAACCCUAGUGCCUCAAUGCCCCCCAUCCUUUCCCUUACAGCGUCUUUCCUCCCUCCCAUGCUCACACCAGGCGGCAGCUGUGUCACCAGCGGCUGCUCACCCAGGUCCUAGGGCCAGCGGCAGCGGCGACUAGCCAGUGACGAGCUCCUCCUCCUACUCACCAACGUCCCCUCUCACGCAGCACGGCAGCAGCCAUGUAUGGACACUUCUCUUCUCCAUUUCUCCUGCCCAGCCAAGCUCAUCUCCUUUUCUUUCUUCUCCGAUCUCUGAAGAUCUAUUAUUCUCAUCUCCUCCAGAUUGCUUUGAGUAGCUACAACGUAUCCGUAUUGGCACUUUUUGAAAUGACGAAUUUACGUAUCCGUAUUGGCCCGAUACUGAUACCCGUAUCCGUAUCGGUGCAUUCGAGGAUCCCAUCGUUCGCGAUUGAAUUUCAUGCCUGUUGGCCGCCGCACCCCAACCGGCUCCGCCGCUGGCGCCCGUGCCCCAUCCGGCCGCGCCGCUAGGGUCCGUGCCCCAUCCGACUGCGCCGCUAGGGUCCGUGCCCCCAUCCGGCCGCACCCCUCGCGUCGGCGCGCAGCCGCCAAUGCAAUCCGAGGCCAUCUCAGGCGGCGCAGUCGGAAUAGAGCAGGUCGCGAACGUGGUUUAGGGCUUCGUCUGUGGCGUUUCACCCUGUGCGCUGUGUUGGUGGAUAGGAUGGUAGAAAAGGCCCAGUAGGCCCAAUUGAACGCGAGACACCCAAAAAAGCCACUGGAGCAGCGGCCCAAAAAGCCCAGCGCAGCCUGACGCGCGAGUUAGCGCCUGCGUACGAGAUUUAGGUGGGACUAAGCACGAAUCUGACGGCCAAAACGAUUAAAAGUGGCGAUCUAACGGCUAGAAAUGCUAAUGGCCUGAGAGGGCUGGGAGUGUGCUCAAUUUUAAUAUAUCUAAAUGUCUUCAUGCAUCUAAACCAUUAAAAAUUGCAAAACUAAAAUGGGUUGGGGGAGAUAUGGCUAUGGUGUUUAUUCCUUCACAUUGGUUUAGGUAUUUCUGAAUUGGUUCACUCUGAAAAAAGGUCCGUCAUGGUUUGAUUUUUGCAUCUGCAGAAAGUGCAGUUUUUUUCUAGUGUCGAGCAUCCACACCUUCUUCUCCCCAGCGCUCACUAUUUUGUUGGCACAUGUUUUGUAGAAUAGGACACCUUUUUAGGGCUCCUUUGAUUCAAAGGAAUUUCAUAGGAUUUCUGGAUCCUUAGGAUUAUUUCCUAUGUUGGUCCUUUGACUCAUAGGAUUGAAUCCCAUAGGAAUUUUUCCUAUGGAAUCUUUUGUACUACAUUUCAUAGAAAAUCUAACAUCCACUCUAACCUUUUUUUACAAUUCCUUUGUUUUUCCUGUGCCAUCAAACACUCAUUGCUAAUCCUAUAGGAUUCAAGUGGGCAUGCCACUCCAAUCCUAUACUUUUCCUAUUCCUACAUUUUUAAAAUCCUACGAAUCAAAGAGGAAUGUUGUAUUUCAUGCUACACAGUGUGAUGGAUCAUUAGAUGGCUAGCCUUUCGUGGCACUCAUUGACGAAUUUUCACUUUAGGAGUUCUUGUGGCCCCUUGGUUUUUUUGUAUGUUCAUGUUGAGAAAUUAUAGUAAUAAGGAGGGACACAAUAAAUAUUUGUAAGCUAGGUUGCUUGCCUAAUCAAGCUCACAUGUGGAUCAUUUACUGUUCUGCGUUAUUGGAGCUUUGCUACAGUAUUCAUUCAGAAAAAUAUGAGUGGCUUGUUGCAAUAUGGUGCUCAGGACGAAAAUGAUAUUUGAAAUUGCAUGUUCUAUGACAAUGGUGUAAUACCAUAAUAAUUACAAAUUAUAAUUUGUUUCUGACUUUGCAACCGGAAUGUGUUGCCUUUAGUAAUAUGUACGCCCACUGUUUAUUUCGAGCAAGACAUGAUAAAUAUUGUUCUUCAGAUUACUUCAGUGAACUGAUAAAUAGCGGACGAGGCUAAGUUCAAGACCUUGAUUUAGAAGUAGAGUUUUUCAAUCAUAGACAUGUUUCUUCCUAAAAAGCAAUUCAAGCGUAGCUACUGUUGACUCUAAAAAGGGAUUUAAAAUGUUUUCAUUUCUGAAAAAUGUUUUCGUUUAUGAAUUUUGAUCUGAAGUUAUCAACCUUAAUCGAAUUCUCUGAAUUUAGGCUAAACUUAAGCAUGAAUUGUAGGUCAUGAGUACAGGAUCAAGCCGCGGAUAUUUACGGCACGACAUGGAGUAUUUGGUGGAACUGGCUAUGGAAGUGUGUCCCUCCAUGUUGUACGCAGACCGUGAUAUGGUGAAUUAUUUCGUAGGCACGACAUUAUGAGCUCCUGUUUUGCAGCACAUGGAUACUUUUCGGCAUAAAUGUCAUGGGUCCAUGAUGCCUUACGUACCUCUGAACCUAUGACUCUGGAGAUAAUUUAAUAUAUUUGUGGAUUGUUUCGCUCCGGUUACACAAGGUAAGAUCCUCUUUCACUAACACUUUCAAGUUUCAAAUAUUGUCAAACGGGGUUCACAAUACUAGGUCUUUCUCAAUUCAGAUUCUUAUAUAUCCAAAAGGGGGACUAGCAAUUCUGAUGGGGCUUUUGCCACUUAUUGUUUUAUGGUUGUCUAGACAGCUGAUGGCAUGCUUCUUUUUGCGAAUUGUCAAUUCUUUUGUACAGGGUCCCUCGGCUACUUAUGCUUUGCUAGAUAAUGAGAGUAUGUAGGUAGUAUGUAUGGUUUUUACAUUGUUUUGCGCAGGUUGAGAUGCAUCACAUGAUGUUUUCCUUUUAUAUUUAUGAGUAUUACAGAGUCCUUUCUUUUUCCACAAGGGGCAGUAGUUGUGCCAUUUGAUUCGAAGGACAAAGAGUUGAUCACAAAGGGGUAGCAUUCAGGACAUAUACACAAAAGAGUAUAGAACCAAAUUAUAUGAUGUAAUUGACAACUAUUUCUAUUAACUUCUCCUGUACACAAUGUUCACG
rnacentral:lncRNA from 1 species